ensembl:lncRNA
GGGAACGGUAUUAUUUGUUUUCGUUCUUAACAUUCUAAUUCUAUAUUGCGCCAAAUUUGCACACACCCCAGGUGGAAUGUUAGCUGAACAGACUGGUACUCUCUAGGUGGAAUGUUAGCUGAACAGACUGGUACUCUCUAGGUGGAAUGUUAGCUGAACAGACUGGUACUCUCUAGUUGGAAUGUUAGCUGAACAGACUGGUACUCAGGUUAGGGGGAAUGUUAGCUGAACAGACUGGUACUCAGGUUAGGGGGGAUGUUAGCUGAACAGACUGGUACUCAGGUUAGGGGGAAUGUUAGCUGAACAGACUGGUACUCAGGUUAGGGGGAAUGUUAGCUGAACAGAC